rnacentral:rRNA from 1 species
CAAUAGCGUAUAUUAAAGUUGUUGCAGCUAAAAAGCUCGUAGUUGGAUUUCUGGUCGGAAGCUCCUGUCCUCUGAUGAGCGUACAAGUGCGUCCUACCAUCCUUCUGUUAACCUUUAAGGCUUUCGCGGCUUUCUAGGGGCUCAGAUAUUUUACCUUGAGAAAAUUAGAGUGUUUCAGGCAGGCUAGCGCCGGAAUACAUUAGCAUGGAAUAAUGGAAUAGGACUUUUGCCUCUUCUGUUGGUCAUGAGGCUCGAGUAAUGAUUAAUAGGGAUAGUUGGGGGCAUUAGUACUUAACUGUCAGAGGUGAAAUUCUCGGAUUUGUUAAAGACUAACUUAUGCGAAAGCAUUUGCCAAGGAUGUUUUCAUUAA